AGGACGAACGCUGGCGGCGCGCCUAACACAUGCAAGUCGAGCGAUAACCAGGGGCUUGCCCUUGGGGACAGCGGCGAACGGGUGCGUAACACGUGAGCAACCUGCCCCGAAGACCGGGACAACCCGAGGAAACUCGGACUAAUACCGGAUGUCCUCACCGGAUCGCAUGGUCUGGUGAGGAAAUGGAUUCCGCUUCGGGAUGGGCUCGCGGUCUAUCAGCUUGUUGGUGGGGUAACGGCCUACCAAGGCGACGACGGAUAGCUGGUCUGAGAGGACGAUCAGCCACACUGGGACUGAGACACGGCCCAGACUCCUACGGGAGGCAGCAGUGGGGAAUCUUGCGCAAUGGGGGAAACCCUGACGCAGCGACGCCGCGUGCGGGAUGAAGGCCUUCGGGUUGUAAACCGCUUUCAGCAGGGACGAAAUUGACGGUACCUGCAGAAGAAGGCCGGCCAACUACGUGCCAGCAGCCGC
rnacentral:rRNA from 1 species